GCUCAGUUAAAUUUGUAUUUCACACAACAAAGAAUUUUUAUAAUAAGUAUAUCCCGUGCAAUAUUUGGGAUAUACUUAUACUAAAAAAUUAUUUGUUGUAUAUCUGAAAUUGGGAUUUUAAUUGGGCAUCCUGUAUUUU
rnacentral:miRNA from 14 species